ACGGUCCUAAGGUAGCGAAAUUCCUUGUCAGGUAAGUUCUGACCCGCACGAAAGGCGUAAUGAUUUGGGCGCUGUCUCGACAAUGUACUCGGCGAAAUUGUAGUACUAGUGAAGAUGCUAGUUACCUGCGACAAGACAGAAAGACCCCAUGGAGCUUUACUGUAGCUUGAUACUGGGUUUCGAUAAUUUAUGUACAGGAUAGGUGGGAGGCGAAGAAGCAAUUGCGCCAGCAGUUGUGGAGUCAUCCUUGGGAUACCACCCUUAAGUUAUUGAAAUUCUAACCUGUAGUCCUGAGCGGGCUAGGGGACAAUGUCAGGCGGGCAGUUUGACUGGGGCGGUCGCCUCCAAAAGAGUAACGGAGGCGCGCAAAGGUUUCCUCAGCGCGGACAGAAAUCGCGCGAAAGAGUGCAAAGGCAGAAGGAAGCUUAACUGAGAGACUGACAAGUCGACCAGAUACGAAAGUAGGUCUUAGUGAUCCGGCGGUAGUGAGUGGAAAUGCCGUCGCUCAACGGACAAAAGUUACCCUGGGGAUAACAGGCUUAUCUCCCCCAAGAGUUCACAUCGACGGGGAGGUUUGGCACCUCGAUGUCGGCUCAUCGCAUCCUGGAGCGGAAGUACGUUCCAAGGGUUGGGCUGUUCGCCCAUUAAAGCGGUACGCGAGCUGGGUUCAGAACGUCGUGAGACAGUUCGGUCCUUAUCUGUCGCAGGCGAAGGAUAUUUGAGGGGAGUUGACCUUAGUACGAGAGGACCAGGUUGAACUUACCAAUGGUGUAUCAGUUGUCGUACCAACGGCACGGCUGAGUAGCUAAGUAGGGAAGGGAUAAACGCUGAAAGCAUCUAAGUGUGAAGCCCACCCCAAGAUAAGAUAUCCCAUACCGUAAGGUAGUAAGAUUCCACGUAGACUAUGUGGUAGAUAGGUUGGAGGUGUAAGUGCAGCAAUGCAUUAAGCUGACCAAUACUAAUAAAUCGAGGGCUUAACCAC
rnacentral:rRNA from 1 species